UCGGGAAUUUUGGGCAAUGGGCGAAAGCCUGACCCAGCAACGCCGCGUGAAGGAUGAAGUAUUUCGGUAUGUAAACUUCGAAAGAAUAGGAAAAAUAAAUGACGGUACUAUUUAUAAGGUCCGGCUAACUACGUGCCAGCAGCCGCGGUAAUACGUAGGGACCAAGCGUUGUUCGGAUUUACUGGGCGUAAAGGGCGCGUAGGCGGCAAUUCAAGUCAUCUGUGAAAUCUCCGGGCUUAACUCGGAACGGUCAGAUGAUACUGCUUUGCUAGAGUGCAGAAGGGGCAAUCGGAAUCCUUGGUGUAGCGGUGAAAUGCGUAGAUAUCAAGAGGAACACCUGAGGUGAAGACGGGUUGCUGGGCUGACACUGACGCUGAGGCGCGAAAGCCAGGGGAGCAAACGGGAUUAGAUACCCCCGUAGUCCCUGAGCGGGCUGGCAAGGCGCAU
rnacentral:rRNA from 1 species